UACGUAGGGUGCGAGCGUUAAUCGGAAUUACUGGGCGUAAAGUGUGCGCAGGCGGCCGAGCAAGUCGAGUGUGAAAGCCCCGGGCUUAACUUGGGAAUUGCGCUCGAAACUACUUGGCUGGAGUGUGGCAGAGGAAGGUGGAAUUCCAGGUGUAGCGGUGAAAUGCGCAGAUAUCAGGAGGAACACCAAUGGCGAAGGCAGCUCGCUGGAACGGUACUGACGCUGAGGCGCGAAAGCGUGGGGAGCGAACAGG
rnacentral:rRNA from 1 species